AAGGUGCAUUUCUCAGAUUAACUAAAGACUAACUUAUGCGAAAGCAUUUGCCAAGGAUGUUUUCAUCAAUCAAGAACGAAAGU
rnacentral:rRNA from 1 species